UUGUGUAAAGAUACUGUGUAUACAGUAAUGACUCCCUGGAGAAAGUUCAGCUUGCUGGUGGAAGGUAGGAGGCAAGCUGUUAUGGUUGCAGGAUGACAUUAGGAGCAUAGGCUGUGAGAGAGACCUGGAUCUUUGGAGAAUAACAGGUCUUGAGUGGUAGUGGAUAGAUAAAUUGGAGCAUAGGAGCUGUUGGGCAAACAGUGGCCUGCCAGUCACCAUAAUAAGAUGGAUAUCAGCAGUACGGGGUGCGAGCCCACACUGGCAAAGUAGAUGAGAGGAAUAAGGGACAGUUUCAAGGCGUCAGAGCAAGGCUCUUGAGUUUUACUGCUAUAAGUACAAUCAGCUUUGUAUGGCCAGCAAUUCAUUUUACUGCUUUAGAAACUGAAGAAUAAAAAAUGCAAAUGCACCUUUGAUGUGCUGAUUACUUCGGGAUGUACUAAGCCAUGAACAGUGGCAGUAAUGAAAUGUCUCCUGGGUGUCUUGGAACGUUGUGAGAGGACCCAGGAGAGGUUCCCUGGGAAACCAGAGAUGAGCUCCAAAGCAUGUGCAGGCUUGGCCAGUUGACAGCCACUACACUGCGCUCUGAACAUGGCUGCUAGACGGAUUGUUUGCAGGAAAAGGCUGGGUACAACUUCAAGAAGAUGUCAACAUUGUUUCAGAAAAGUCAGCAACAAAUCCAUUCCAGCUAUAAAAUUGUUCCUGCAAGAGCACAGAGAAAUCCAUGCAUUUAUCUUGAAGACAACUCUUUCAAACAAAUGUUCUAAUUAGGAACCACAACAUCCUAUUUCUUUUUUAAUACUCUAGUUGUGAAUGGACAACAAAUGUUGUUGAGCAAGAGAAUGUCAUUGUCUAAACAUGGAAAUGGAA